rnacentral:rRNA from 1 species
UUCGGUGGCAAUGGCAAAGAGGCAACACCCGUACCCAUCCCGAACACGCAGGUUAAGCUCUUUAGCGCCGAUGGUACUGCUUGGGAAGCUAAGUGGGAGAGUAGGACGCUGCCGGAA